rnacentral:tRNA from 1 species
AUCUUUUUGGCAGAUUAUUGCACUAAGUUUAAAUCUUAGAUAUAAAAUUAUAUA